rnacentral:rRNA from 1 species
UUGAAGAGUUUGAUCAUGGCUCAGAUUGAACGCUGGCGGCAGGCCUAACACAUGCAAGUCGAACGGUAACAGGAAGCAGCUUGCUGCUUCGCUGACGAGUGGCGGACGGGUGAGUAAUGUCUGGGAAACUGCCUGAUGGAGGGGGAUAACUACUGGAAACGGUAGCUAAUACCGCAUAAUGUCGCAAGACCAAAGAGGGGGGACCUUCGGGCCUCUUGCCAUCGGAUGUGCCCAGAUGGGAUUAGCUUGUUGGUGGGGUAACGGCUCACCAAGGCGACGAUCCCUAGCUGGUCUGAGAGGAUGACCAGCCACACUGGAACUGAGACACGGUCCAGACUCCUACGGGAGGCAGCAGUGGGGAAUAUUGCACAAUGGGCGCAAGCCUGAUGCAGCCAUGCCGCGUGUAUGAAGAAGGCCUUCGGGUUGUAAAGUACUUUCAGCGGGGAGGAAGGGAGUAAAGUUAAUACCUUUGCUCAUUGACGUUACCCGCAGAAGAAGCACCGGCUAACUCCGUGCCAGCAGCCGCGGUAAUACGGAGGGUGCAAGCGUUAAUCGGAAUUACUGGGCGUAAAGCGCACGCAGGCGGUUUGUUAAGUCAGAUGUGAAAUCCCCGGGCUCAACCUGGGAACUGCAUCUGAUACUGGCAAGCUUGAGUCUCGUAGAGGGGGGUAGAAUUCCAGGUGUAGCGGUGAAAUGCGUAGAGAUCUGGAGGAAUACCGGUGGCGAAGGCGGCCCCCUGGACGAAGACUGACGCUCAGGUGCGAAAGCGUGGGGAGCAAACAGGAUUAGAUACCCUGGUAGUCCACGCCGUAAACGAUGUCGACUUGGAGGUUGUGCCCUUGAGGCGUGGCUUCCGGAGCUAACGCGUUAAGUCGACCGCCUGGGGAGUACGGCCGCAAGGUUAAAACUCAAAUGAAUUGACGGGGGCCCGCACAAGCGGUGGAGCAUGUGGUUUAAUUCGAUGCAACGCGAAGAACCUUACCUGGUCUUGACAUCCACGGAAGUUUUCAGAGAUGAGAAUGUGCCUUCGGGAACCGUGAGACAGGUGCUGCAUGGCUGUCGUCAGCUCGUGUUGUGAAAUGUUGGGUUAAGUCCCGCAACGAGCGCAACCCUUAUCCUUUGUUGCCAGCGGUCCGGCCGGGAACUCAAAGGAGACUGCCAGUGAUAAACUGGAGGAAGGUGGGGAUGACGUCAAGUCAUCAUGGCCCUUACGACCAGGGCUACACACGUGCUACAAUGGCGCAUACAAAGAGAAGCGACCUCGCGAGAGCAAGCGGACCUCAUAAAGUGCGUCGUAGUCCGGAUUGGAGUCUGCAACUCGACUCCAUGAAGUCGGAAUCGCUAGUAAUCGUGGAUCAGAAUGCCACGGUGAAUACGUUCCCGGGCCUUGUACACACCGCCCGUCACACCAUGGGAGUGGGUUGCAAAAGAAGUAGGUAGCUUAACCUUCGGGAGGGCGCUUACCACUUUGUGAUUCAUGACUGGGGUGAAGUCGUAACAAGGUAACCGUAGGGGAACCUGCGGUUGGAUCACCUCCUU